CUGCUGUUGCUUUGUCACUACUAACUGGUAGUUAGCUGGUAUGGGUCUGGUCCUUAAGGUGCCAGCGAUGUCACAGUAGCAAGGGGUGCAGCUGUGAAAGGGGUACCCAACUCAAGGGUCAUUGUGGCAGCCCAUGGACUUUAGGGGUCAUUUACAAAGGACAUGGGACCAUACUGGGACCAGACUCACACAUGGAAGUAAGGGGAACAGCUCAGGAAGACAGGUCGUGCCACUGUUUAUCACAGUGCUGUCCCCAAAGCUGAGGUGUGGAAAUAAGAGGGAAACAUAUGUUCUCCAGGCAGGAGAAAAGCAACCUGCAAAGCUGUGUCAUCUCUGUGCCAAGUCAGAGCUUUAAUUGGCACAAAGAUUAUCUUCACUAACACCUGCAAGUAUGAACCUCUUCAACAAAAGUGCUCUCCUCAAACAAAGGAAUCUGGCUGAAGAUGCACAAGCUUGUCAGCAGAGAGAAUUAGUCAAGAUUAGUCAGGAACAGCACUGGGUAUCAGAGCACCUGUGCCCAGGGUGUGUUGGAGGCUGGCCUGGGUCUCAGCACAGUCACCCACCACCCUGGGAGUGGAUGAGUCACAGCUCCACCUUCUGCAGGAGGUCUGCCCCAGGGACUGGCCCUUGGAGCCCUUUUCAGGAGGCAUCUGGACUCGGCCCAGCUCCAGCUGGUGUGGAAUUACUCAGGACCUAAUUACAACAACCUGGUGACAGCGCAGUGAGAGGAGUUCCUCAUUAAACAUGAUGGUCUGGAUGCCACGGCUGGCGCAGCAAACUCUUAAAUGGUUAUUGCUGGGAACAGCUAGUGCAUACAGGGGGAAAGAUCACUCUAUAAAUGUGCUAUUUCUUACAUUCCUUCUCUGAGCAUCUGUCAUUGCUCUCUGCCAAAGACAGGAUAUUGGAUCUUUAGAUUGGCUCAGUGAAGCUAAUCUUCUGGUUUUAUGGUUAGGUCUGUAGCAGCAAUGACAAGAAAAACUUUAAAUACUUGAGUGGGAAAAAAAUCCUUCAAUAGUAUUUGUGUCUUUUUUUGUGCCUUUUUUUGGUCUUCUGAAGUAGUAAGCAAGGGAGGUGCAACAGUUUGGAUCAGAACUAUUCUACUAGCAAUAUUUGCUUUCUAUUUCCAUGAUAUUAUAGUAGUAUUUCAUAGAAUUAUAAUUAAUAUAUAUUGAAAUACCACAUAAAGUAGAAGACAAGCCUUUUCUGGUGUAGUUUGUUGUGCUACUAUGGUGAGCAAUAGUUCUCAUGUUGUGUGGCACUUUGUGGAAAAGCUUUUUCCCUCUUUACUGAGAGGAGACAGAAUAAAGAAUAAGUCUAGCCAGCAGAAAUCUGUCUGAUCUACAAGUGAAACAAAAGGCCUAAAAAGACUGCACAGCUCCCAGGGACAUUUGACAAGGUCUUUUCAGGGACUAGAUGUGUGGCUCCUGAUUUCAGAAAUGUUCUUUUUCAUCCCUUUCUUCACCCUGCUUUGCAAGUUUGUAAGCCAGCUGCCAUGAAGGUGGUUGGGUGUUUUGGAAUACCAAUGGCUCAUCAUUUGCCUAACAGAGAGGCAGUAACAAGUUUCUCCUUGCAUUUCUUUGUGCUAUGAAGGUCUCAAAUGCUUCUUGUCCACUAGAUAAAACACCUCUGGCCAAGCUACCACCAACACGAAUGGAUCCUUGCUUAUUUUUCCCAAACACCUUCAUACCUGAUGUGUCCUAUGGCUUUUAUGCUCACCUGAGGCAACCUGUCAUUGAUUGCAUUCUCUUGGGAAUGAUGCCUCCCUGAAGCAGCAAACUGUGUGAUCUCAGUGAAAAUAUGGCUGUGGCUUCUCUGGCAGGAGUAGUAAAUCUUUGCUACCUUGACCUCUUAUUAGCAUUUCAUUCCUAGUCUCACAAAUAAUAAAAAGUGACUCCAACAGCUUUUAAUUGCUACUCUUCUCCUGUGAAUCUCUGUUAGUAACAGACAAAACCAGGCAGCAUAGAAGCAGAUUUUCAUUUCUUUUUUUUCAUUUUAUUGUUUCCUACUGAUGAGGGGGACUGCGGGACACAUAAACAUAAAUGCAAUAUGAGCUACCAAACAUGAAAGCCCUGGCCACUGU